AGGGCCAUAUCAUGUUGAAACAUUGGUUCUCGUACGAUCACCAAAGUUAAACAACAUUGAGCCUGGUCACUACCUAGAUGGGUGACCCCCUUAGGAAUACCAGGUGCUGUAA